AUUGAACGCUGGCGGCAGGCCUAACACAUGCAAGUCGAGCGGAGCGGCGGACGGGUGAGUAAUGCCUGGGAAUCGUCCGGGUGGUGGGGGAUAACGUCCGGAAACGGGCGCUAAAACCGAUUCCAAUAAGUUGAGCCUAGGUGGGAUUAGCUAGUUGGUGGGGUAAAGGCCUACCAAGGCGACGAUCCGUACCUGGUCUGAGAGGAUGAUCAGUCACACUGGAACUGAGACACGGUCCAGACUCCUACGGGAGGCAGCAGUGGGGAAUAUUGGACAAUGGGCGAAAGCCUGAUCCAGCCAUGCCGCGUGUGUGAAGAAGGUCUUCGGAUUGUAAAGCACUUUAAGUUGGGAGGCGUUACCAACAGAAUAAGCACCGGCUAACUUCGUGCCAGCAGCCGCGGUAAUUC
rnacentral:rRNA from 1 species